rnacentral:misc_RNA from 1 species
AACGCACAUUGCGCCCUCCGGUAUUCCGGAGGGCAUGCCUGUUCGAGCGUCAUUUAACAAACCCCUCGGGCGUUGGGAUCCAAGGAUCGCUCGCUUGGUUCUGAAGAUGGGAUGCAUGCGAUCCCUCUUUGAAAGAAAUUGGCGAUAUUUGCAUGUCCGUCGGUCGCGUAGUAAAUCACCUUUACCUCUCGCAGCUGGACAAGCAACGAUCAGCCGUAAAACUGCAGAGCCUCUAUGGCUUCGGUGGUUGACCUCGGAUCAGGUAGGGAUACCCGCUGAACUUAA